CAGAGAGAUCUAGAAUCCCACGGGCUCAGCUUGAGGGGCUGAGGCCAGUCUGUUCAUUGCACCUGAAGACAAAGGGCUAUGGCACCCACUGGGCUCCUCCUCCCUCCUCCUGGGGCUCUGGGCAGGGCCAUCAACCCCCUUGCCUCUGCAGAGGUAGUGGAGAGAACCUGAGUUUUGCUGACAGAGAGGUGUGCCUGCCUAUUCUGGAGCUGCCACUGCCCAAAGGAACAAAGUCAAUUCUCUAAACCUCGAUUUUCUUUUCUGGAAAUUGGUGCAACAAUAUCUAUCCCAAGAAACUGUUGAAAGAUUAGAAAUGUUAUUUGUACAGCAUCAGGCACUUCAUAAAUGUCAUGGCUGGCAGGGCAGAGUAGCGACCUGCCCGGAGGCUGUCCCUCUUUGUGGGGGAGAAGGCACAGCAUGUUUUACUUGGUCCUGCUGGUGCUGGUGGGAACCACCACCUGCAGAUUAGCUCCAGCGCGAACCCCAGCCUGAUUUCAAGUGGCUCAGACUUGGAUUCCGACCUGCCUGCUCGGGGUCCCCUCAGAGCCUCUUGCAUUCCAAGGUCACUUUGUGAGCCACGCUUUCCAAGCACACUUCUGCUUCUCUCGGUAUUAUCCCUCAGUCUGUGAAAGCAGCCUCCUAGGCACUCAGAUUGGAAAUGAGCAGCUGUGAUCUCCCCUUUCUCUGUUGCAUCCAUCCAGGCACAAAGUCCUUUUGGAUCUCCCUCCGAAGCACCUGUCAGUCAAAGGUCCUUCUAAGCACUAUGGACCUGACUUCAGUUGGUGCCCUCAGCAGCCUCUGCCUGUGACUGCAGCUCCUCAUUCCCUGCCCUUCCACACCUCCUUCCAUGCGGCUGAUCACAUCACUCCCCUGAUCAAGCCCCCUAGAGCUCCCUAUUGCCUAUAAAUGCCAUUCAAGCUUCUCAGAACAGCAUAAGAAGCUCUCCAGGUUCUGUCUAUAGAAUGAGUCUUUGGUUUGUUUUCUAUUUGCAAGACUAUUUUGUUCAAAUAUGUUUUAAAGUGAUCACAAAAGGAAAGGCUUCAUGCCUCUGAACGAAGUUUAUAAACCUGAUGAGAAAAUGCAAAGGUGAGCAAAAUCAUCCUUUCUUGUAAGCGCCUGCAGUGAAUAAGUAAUGUCAGUCUCAGGGGACGCAGGCCUGGGGUGAGGAAGUCACCCCGCUCCCCCACCCCGAAGCUCAUCUCAGCAGGGGCCUCCAGAAGAGAGUAGCUUGCCUGGAGCCAAAGCCCUUCUCUUUCCUGCUACAAAGGUGCAGGUACAAAGGACAAUUAGGACAGGUAAAAAGGCAAUUAAUAGGCUGCUCAAAGUAAGUGAAAGGCAAAUGAACUGAAACCUCACAUGUAUUAAAGAAUAACAGAGAACAGGUCAAGAUGAGCAGGGGCAUGUUCCUAUUAAUAACACCGCUUAUGAAUAGCUACAGCCACUGAUUGAGUUUAUUAUCAGCCAGGUCCUUUGCUAAACAUGAAAAGAGCAUUAUUUCAUUUAAUCCCCACCACAAGCCAAGGAAGUGGGACUUUUAUGGCUCCCAUUUAUCAGAUCAGGAAAUUGUUCUGGGUGUGACAUAAUUUUCCCUGGUCCUCACUCUGGGGCGUGGGGUCCCUGUUCUGGGCCUGUGUGUUUCCCAAAGUGUGAGGCUACCUUUCUACAAAGCUAGAAAGACAGUGCUUCAGUCCAUGUUGAGAUAACGCCCAUGUGGAAGAAGAAAAUUUGUUUUUUUGUUUUGAGGAAGAUUAGCUCUGAGCUAACAUCUGCCACUAAUCCACCUCUUUUUGCUGAGAAAGACUGGCCCAGAGCUAACAUCCAUGCCCAUCUUCCUCUACUUUAUAUGUGGGACGGCUGCCACAGCGUGGUUUGAUAAGCAGUAUGUAGGUCCGCACCAGGGAUCUGAACCUGUGAACUGCUGGCCGCUGAAGAGGAGCGUGCCAAAUUCACCACUGUGCCACCGAGCCAGCCCCCAAAAUAUUUUUUCCAACUGCCCCAGAAUUUGCAAGCUUGCUCACAGUUCACUCGGCAGCUGGGACGUGACACUGCAGCACAGCACACUUCCCUCUUUCUCAGCCCCUUUUCAAAUUAUGCCUCCUGGGGUCUCCAACGAAUAAGAAACCAGCAUUUUAUGGAGUCCUACAAUUUUUAAGGGCUUUACCCUCAGCUAUACAGAGGCAGGGCAUGGAAAGCUUUGCAAUGACCAGAUCACCAAUGGCAGGGCCUCGAUUACACUACAGACAGAAACAUUUUCCUUCUGCAUCUGUGUCAGAGUGACGGUGUGUUUCCAUUUGCCUGUUACAUUUAGACUCCUGAGGCUGAACCUAUGAAGCUCUUAGUCAUUGCUCUUAUAGAUACA
rnacentral:lncRNA from 1 species